rnacentral:rRNA from 1 species
AACGAACGCUGGCGGCGUGGAUUAGGCAUGCAAGUCGAACGAGAAAGGGUUCGCAAGGACCCGAGUAAAGUGGCGAAAGGGUGAGUAGUACCUAGGUAACCUGCCCUGAAGACGGGGAUAACGUCUCUAACGGGACGCUAAUACCCGAUAUGUCGGCGGCCUCGCAUGGGGUUGCCGGUAAAGAUAGCCUCUGUACACAAGCUUUCACUUCAGGAGGGGCCUCGGGCCUAUCAGCUAGUUGGCGGGGAACGGCCCACCAAGGCUGGGACGGGUAGCCGGUCUGAGAGGAUGGUCGGCCACACUGGGACUGAGACACUGCCCAGACUCCUACGGGAGGCUGCAGUCGAGGAUCUUCUGCAAUGGGCGCAAGCCUGACAGAGCGACGCCGCGUGGGGAUGAAGGUCUUCGGAUUGUAAACCCC